rnacentral:rRNA from 1 species
UAGAGCUAAUACAUGCAAACAGAGUCCCGACCAGAAAUGGAAGGGGCGCUUUUAUUAGAUCAAAACCAAUCGACGUCAGUUGGCUUGCCAACUGCGCCGUACUCCUUGGUGACUCUGAAUAACUUCUGGCAGAUCGCACGGUCUCAGUACCGGCGACGCAUCCUUCAAAUGUCUGCCUUAUCAACUGUCGAUGGUAGGUUCUGCGCCUACCAUGGUUGUAACGGGUAACGGGGAAUCAGGGUUCGAUUCCGGAGAGGGAGCCUGAGAAACGGCUACCACAUCCAAGGAAGGCAGCAGGCGCGCAAAUUACCCACUCCCGGCACGGGGAGGUAGUGACGAAAAAUAACGAUACGGGACUCAUCCGAGGCCUCGUAAUCGGAAUGAGUAUACUCUAAAUCCUUGUACAAGUAUCAAUUGGAGGGCAAGUCUGGUGCCAGCAGCCGCGGUAAUUCCAGCUCCAAUAGCGUAUAUUAAAGUUGUUGCGGUUAAAAAGGUUGGAUCUGUGUCCUUCGACGCCGGUUCACCGCCUGUCGGUGCCAACUGGCGUUUUGCGGGACGUCCUGUCGGUGGUGUGUCUGGAAUCUUAGUUGUGCUAAGCUUUGCCUAGUGCAGCUCUGGUUUCGGGCCACUUUCAUAAUCCCGCCGCGGUGCUCUUAAUCGAGUGUCGAGGCGGGCCGGCACGUUUACUUUGAACAAAUUAGAGUGCUUCAAGCAGGCUUGUCACGCCUGUAUACUGUGUGCAUGGAAUAAUGGAAUAGGACCUCGGUUCUAUUUUGUUGGUUUCCGGAAUCUGAGGUAAUGAUCAAUGGGGACAGGCGGGGGCAUUCGUAUUGCGACGUUAGAGGUGAAAUUCUUGGAUCGUCGCAAGACGGACCGAAGCGAAAGCAUUUGCCAAGUAUGUUCCCGUCGAUCAAGAACGAAAGUUAGAGGUUCGAAGGCGAUCAGAUACCGCCCUAGUUCUAACCAUAAACAAUGCCUGCCAGCGAUCCGCCGGCGUCCCUCCGAUGACCCGGCGGGCAGCUUCCGGGAAACCAGAGCUUUUGGGUUCCGGGGGAAGUAUGGUUGCAAAGCUGAAACUUAAAGGAAUUGACGGAAGGGCACCACCAGGAGUGGAGCCUGCGGCUUAAUUUGACUCAACACGGGAAAACUCACCAGGCCCGGACACCGGAAGGAUUGACAGAUUGAUAGCUCUUUCUUGAUUCGGUGGGUGGUGGUGCAUGGCCGUUCUUAGUUGGUGGAGCGAUUUGUCUGGUUAAUUCCGAUAACGAACGAGACUCUAGCCUACUAACUAGACGUAUCUGGUAUCAGCAAUCGUGCUACCAGCGAUCAUAUCUCUUCUUAGAGGGACAGGCGGCUUCUAGCCGCACGAGACUGAGCAAUAACAGGUCUGUGAUGCCCUUAGAUGUCCUGGGCCGCACGCGCGCUACACUGAAGGAAUCAGCGUGUCUUCCCUGUCCGAAAGGACCGGGUAACCCGCUGAACCUCCUUCGUGCUUGGGAUUGGGGCUUGCAAUUGUUCCCCAUGAACGAGGAAUUCCCAGUAAGCGCGAGUCAUAAGCUCGCGUUGAUUACGUCCCUGCCCUUUGUACACACCGCCCGUCGCUACUACCGAUUGAAUGAUUUAGUGAGGUCUUCGGACCGGUGCGCGGAGGCGGUUUUCCGCUCCCGAUGUUGUCGGAAAGAUGACCAAACUUGAUCAUUUAGAGGAAGUAAAAGUCGUAACAAGGUUUC